rnacentral:rRNA from 1 species
UACGGAGGGAGCUAGCGUUGUUCGGAUAUACUGGGCGUAAAGCGCACGUAGGCGGCGCAGCAAGUCAGGGGUGAAAUCCCGGAGCUCAACUCCGGAACUGCCUUUGAAACUGCAGUGCUAGAAUCCUGGAGAGGCGAGUGGAAUUCCGAGUGUAGAGGUGAAAUUCGUAGAUAGUUCGGAAAGAACACCAGUGGCGAAGG